rnacentral:lncRNA from 1 species
UUUUCUUCCAAAAUAGACAAUGUAUCACAGAUAAGCCUUCUCAAAGAGAGAGAAAUAGUACAGGAACUGAAAAUAGUUAAUCUAAUUGGAUGAAAGCAUCAACUGCUUUCUUUGUGUAUGUCAAAUUCUCCAUUAGAAAUCAGAAUUCAGUAUGCUUCUGGAAAAUAAAUAUACUGUGGGCAAUGACAGAAUACUUUUGCCUUAAAAACAUGUUAAUCUCCAGAUGUGAGCUUCUAUAUAGUCACCAAAAAAAUAUGCCCUGAGUGAACCUUGCUGUCUCCAACAUACAGUUCCACUAGGCAUGCCUUAUUUGUUUUAAGGAUUUUGUGACAUUACAGGAAGCAAUGUCACUUUAUCUGGAUAAAAAUAUUCACUCUCACAGGUGAGAGAAAUGCAUCACAAGGAAUCAGUAAAUUCACCAAUUGGAAUCAAUCUACUGAUUGUUAAUUGUUUCACUGUGAGCCAAAAGGCUAGUAAUCAAAAAGUAAAAUAUUUAGAAGUGAAAGAAGAAAAAUGAUUCAAAAAAUAAAUUAAUCUGCUUUAAAUAAAAAUUUUACUUAAUCUUUAAAUUAACCUAUUUUAGCAGCUUUUUUUUUUUAUAACAAAGAAGAUCAUAAGGACUUGCAAUCAUGAUGAUUCUCAAAAUGAGACCAAUAAUUGUCUUGGAAUGGUCAAACGGUCACCUGUCUAAAGAUCCAUCUAGUUGCCAGCUUGGAAGGCUGAAGCAGGAGGACCAAGAGUUCAAAGCAGCCUCAUCAAUAGUAAGGCACUAAGCAACUGGGUGAAACUCUGUCUCUAAAAAAAAUACAAAAAAAGGGCUGGGGAUGUGGCUCAGUGGUUGAGUGCCCCUGAGUUCAAUCUCCAGUAUCCUCCUCCCACAAAAAAAUAGAAAAAAAAAUUCAUCUAGCUGUUGUAAUUCUUCAUAAGGACUCUUUAGCCACUCUAGUUGACUGUCAUUUGCAGUAUCAUAAUUUUACAGAGGCUAGACUUCCU